rnacentral:rRNA from 1 species
UACGGAAGGCAGCAGUGGGGAAUAUUGCACAAUGGGCGAAAGCCUGAUGCAGCUAUGCCGCGUGUAUGAAGAAGGCCUUAGGGUUGUAAAGUACUUUCAUCGGGGAGGAAAAACAAAACUAAUAAUUUUAUUUCUUGACGUUACCCGAAAAAGAAGCACCGGCUAACUCCGUGCCAGCAGCCGCGGUAAUACGGAGGGUGCUAGCGUUAAUCAGAAUUACUGGGCGUAAAGAGCACGUAGGUGGUUUUUUUAAGUCAGAUGUGAAAUCCCCUGGGCUUAACCUAGGAACUACAUUUUGAAACUGAAAUACUAGAGUAUCGUAGAGGGAGGUAGAAUUCUAGGUGUAGCGGUGAAAUGCGUAGAUAUCUGGAGGAAUACCUGUGGCGAAAGCGGCCUCCUAAACGAAUACUGACACUGAGGUGCGAAAGCGUGGGGAGCAAACAGGGAUUAGAUACC